CCACCAUUUGUGUGUUUUCAUGAUCAUAGAAUAAAUAAAAUCUCGAAAAACGCUUAUUUUUCAUUCUCUUUUUUUUAUUUCUCGUUUAGGUUAGAUUGGCCAUUUGGAGCAGUGGGACGGAGCGCAAAAUACCGGUGGUUUCAUAUCCAGCACCAAGUUGAUUCCAGUUCCAGAAAUUGUAGCUUCAGCGGAAGUGAUUCGGGAAGUUUCCGUAGCGAAAGCAAUUUCUCCAGCUACCAGUAUGCUUCCACAACGACGACUUCCCGCAUCAACAACCAUCAUUUGAUUGCCAAUAGGUAGAUAACUAUUCUGACCGAUCCACCUGAUGAACAGAGAUUUUUUCCGAUCUGGGAAGCAAUCGGGUCGGUGCAAAAAGUGUAAACAUAAAUCAAAUUGUGCAGUUUUACUUCUCAACAACCCGUUGCUCCAACGCUUACAAAUUCCGGUAAGCUAGAUUCAACGCCUCUUAGUUCCGUUCCGGUCAGUUUCGACAGUUCCAGAGUUGGUUGUACAUUCGACAUCGGAUCAACCGGGGAUAAAACUGGUGGAUAUCAAAUAGCGGAACUGGUUGAUCAGCUCGUUGAUCUGAAACAGGAAGAAGUGCUUAUGUGCAUAGAUUUUUCAAAUGUACGGUUCUCUAGCGACUGGUUCUCUAUGCCACGGACUUCGAAACCAACCGUACUUCUCAAAGGUGGUCCUGUCGUAAAUAUGCUGCUCAAGCAUCAGAGCCCCGAGCUAUUUAAACGCAAUAAAAAAGACAACUAGGAAAACACCCCACAAAUAGCCAACCCAACAAUGGUAACCGGUGACAAAGUUCCGCCUUCCGUUAUCAAACAACAGCAACAGGCAGUCCAACAGCAGCUUCAAAGCGAACCGAGCAAAGGAACUUGGACGACAGAUGGACCAGGAGAAACCUUCCUCGAGUCAAAAUUCUACCGCAUCCACAAUAAGCCGUGGUGAUGUGAUCAGUGCCAAACCAUCACUACGCUGCCGAUCGAGAAAGCUCUUCCCGUUAACGUAGACAUUACUGAUUACGAUCCACAACCGACUAACAUUUCCACGGCUACCACACAACCCACCUAAAGCGUUACCGUUUCUCCACAACGCAUCAAACACAGCGUGAUAGGCAUUACCCCGCCCCAACAACGGCCGUCAUUCCCUCGGUGGUUGCGCCAACAAUUUCCGGUUCUUAUAGAAAACAUCUACCCACCAGCAUCAGGAAUGUUCGCCCAAAACAACGUAGCAGACGCUGCUUAUACCUUUCCUUCUGGCGCUGUCGAUAAAGAAGCAGAAGAUAGUGACCACGUGUCGAUAGUGUCAUGCGAGACGAAUAGCUGCACAAAAUUUCUGUGAACCAUUCGAUUACGCUGGAACUGGAAAUCAUAGAGAAAAACAACAAGAGUUGCACUUGGAGUGCGAUCGAUUUUGCCGACGACGAACCUUAUAAAGAGACGUUCUGGUGAUCUUUUUUAGGUGAGUACUUAUUUGAAACAUUUUUGUUAACAUUUUUAUCUUUUUUUUAAUCUUUCAGAUUCUAUCGAACAUUCACAAACUGCGCUUCGAAGGCCCCACCCAAGAAGAACCGUAGGUAGAUUGUUUGAAAUGUCCCAUUUCUCACCACUCCCAACAAAAAUAAGAACUAAUUGAAUACCAAAAAAGGAAACCCAGUAGCGCCCACGACCAAUGAAGAGCCGUCGUCUGGUGGUGGAAACGGUUCCGAAGCCAUCGCAGUCUCAAGAUUUUUCAACAGCCCAUCAACACAACAACCUCAAACAAUAGCAUACUCAUCUGAAGGGAACCGUACUCAAGAGCUUUCAACUAUCAUUACUGGUCACUAGUCACCGCUGAUAGUACUCAGUACUGCUGGUGGCUCGAGCAGAAACAACUACGUCCUAUUAAACGUCUAACUGAAAAUUGGCAUGCUUUAGCAGCAAAAUCAACAGCAACACUCAGUGGUUGCACCGAUUAGUCUUGGUGACCGCGAAAAACCGAGUAGUUCUAAAUCGAGUAUCAGCUUUUCGCCGCCAAAGAAAGUCAUACUAAAGAGAGCAGUCCAUGGUCUCGAAAGAAAGUAAAUUUCAAGCCAGAUUUGAAACUAAAGUGUCUGUGGUCGAGUGGACUAAAAAGGCAUGCCCGAAAGAACGGUUCAUUCAUGGUUUCAGAAACCAUGAGGUCUGGUCUGCCAACAUAUCAGCAUCAAAUCAUUCAACAAGUGAACGGUAACAAUGGAAUUUAUUCAACAACUGAUCCAAGGGUAGGAACGAAGGCAAUCUCAUAUCAGUAUGGCAAUUUUCAUGAUAGACAAAUCAACACUAAGGCAAGGAAAUUGGAAUCACUUCUAUCAAUAUAUCUUGGCCAACGGAUUCACAAUAAUGGUGUCAAAAUGUCGAUAUUCCGCACGCAUAUCGCACACUUAGUUCAAAAAGGAAUGUGAUGGGAUAAUUAUCUGCUGUUGCAUUCCAGAAUUCCAGCUUAAUAAAAUGUCACCAAAUCAAGGAUUAUGAUUUGCACAAAUCCUAGAUUUAAUUCAAUAUAAUAAUCGGUCCACAUUAUAAAUUAUUCUACCGGCAAUUCUCCAAAUUUGUGUUUUAUCCGUCUUCAUCUUGACAAACAAAUUUCUCGGCUCGCCUGGGUUGCGAUGAGCUGAACAACAUAACCUCUAGGACUUUCGAACAUGUGAUGAAUUUUGUGGCUGGAACCACAAUAUUUCGAGAAAUUGUUUUCCCGUCGCAGCAGGAUUAUUAUACGGUAUUUUUCGUAGCUUAGGAAGGUUAGCUUCCGACGCCAUUUCUGUUUGCCUUCCUGAGAUUGAGAGGAAUCUAUUGGUCUGCCGGAUUUGGAGUACGACGAAACCUACGUUUACUCCCUCCACAGAAACUGGUGAUCCCGUUUAGGAUUAUAAAUUCCAAUGGUCCCGAUUACUAGGUGACUGUGGAUGUAUUUGCAAUUUUCUUAAAAAGUUUAAAGUUGUUUCUUGGCCUACUGCCCAGCGCCCAAUGGAACAAAAAAUGGUUAAACGGAGACGUUCCUGAAUCUGGGUUUGUUAUCGAAUCGGAGCUGUUGGGAUCAAACGAUACUGGAAACAUAGCUCAUUGCAAACCGGGGACACGGCAAAAUACGUUCAAGUAAUUAAUGUUUGGCUUAAAAUUAUGUUUUAAAGUGGUUUCUUGGCUCAGCGGCAAAUGAAACAACGAGAAAGUUUACGGCUAACAUGAUCAUGUGCCUAAAGAUACUCCUGUGGCAGGAUAAGAGUUCAUUUGUAAUUUGUUAAGUGAGGAGGGCAUUAAUAGAAUUCCUACAUAAAAAGCUAGGUUAUGUAAAACGAGAAU